rnacentral:rRNA from 1 species
CUGCCUCAGAACGAACGCUGGCGGCGUGCUUACACAUGCAAGUCGAACGAGAAAGUCUCUUCGGAGAUGAGUAAAGUGGCGAACGGGUGAGUAACACGUAGGUAACCUGCCUCCAAGACCGGGAUAACCUGUUGAAAGAUGGACUAAUACCGGAUAAGACCACAGGGGCUUCGGCCCUAGUGGCCAAAGGGUGGCCACUGCAUGCAAGCUAUUGCUUGGAGAUGGGCCUGCGGACCAUUAGCUAGUUGGUAGGGUAACGGCCUACCAAGGCAAAGAUGGUUAGCUGGUCUGAGAGGAUGAUCAGCCACACUGGGACUGAGACACGGCCCAGACUCCUACGGGAGGCAGCAGUGGGGAAUCUUGGGCAAUGGGCGAAAGCCUGACCCAGACAACGCCGCGUGGGUGAUGAAGGCCCUCGGGUCGUAAAGCCCUGUCGGGAGGAACGAAUUCUACCUGGGGGUUAAAUACCC